rnacentral:rRNA from 1 species
GUGAAGCCCAGCUUGCUGGGUGGAUCAGUGGCGAACGGGUGAGUAACACGUGAGCAACCUGCCCUCCACUUCGGGAUAAGCCUUGGAAACGGGGUCUAAUACCGGAUAUGAGCUCGCAUCGCAUGGUGUGGGUUGGAAAGUUUUUCGGUGGGGGAUGGGCUCGCGGCCUAUCAGCUUGUUGGUGGGGUGAUGGCCUACCAAGGCGUCGACGGGUAGCCGGCCUGAGAGGGCGACCGGCCACACUGGGACUGAGACACGGCCCAGACUCCUACGGGAGGCAGCAGUGGGGAAUAUUGCACAAUGGGCGCAAGCCUGAUGCAGCGACGCCGCGUGAGGGAUGACGGCCUUCGGGUUGUAAACCUCUUUCAGCAGGGAAGAAGCGCAAGUGACGGUACCUGCAGAAGAAGCGCCGGCUAACUACGUGCCAGCAGCCGCGGUAAUACGUAGGGCGCAAGCGUUGUCCGGAAUUAUUGGGCGUAAAGAGCUCGUAGGCGGUCUGUCGCGUCUGGUGUGAAAUCCCGAGGCUCAACCUCGGGCUUGCAUCGGGUACGGGCAGACUAGAGUGCGGUAGGGGAGACUGGAAUUCCUGGUGUAGCGGUGGAAUGCGCAGAUAUCAGGAGGAACACCGAUGGCGAAGGCAGGUCUCUGGGCCGCAACUGACGCUGAGGAGCGAAAGCAUGGGGAGCGAACAGGAUUAGAUACCCUGGUAGUCCAUGCCGUAAACGUUGGGCACUAGGUGUGGGGCUCAUUCCACGAGUUCCGUGCCGCAGCUAACGCAUUAAGUGCCCCGCCUGGGGAGUACGGCCGCAAGGCUAAAACUCAAAGGAAUUGACGGGGGCCCGCACAAGCGGCGGAGCAUGCGGAUUAAUUCGAUGCAACGCGAAGAACCUUACCAAGGCUUGACAUGUACGAGAAAGCCCCCGAGACGGGGUUCUCUUUGGACACUCGUACACAGGUGGUGCAUGGUUGUCGUCAGCUCGUGUCGUGAGAUGUUGGGUUAAGUCCCGCAACGAGCGCAACCCUCGUCCUAUGUUGCCAGCGGGUUAUGCCGGGGACUCAUGGGAGACUGCCGGGGUCAACUCGGAGGAAGGUGGGGAUGACGUCAAAUCAUCAUGCCCCUUAUGUCUUGGGCUUCACGCAUGCUACAAUGGCCGGUACAGAGGGCUGCGAUACCGUAAGGUGGAGCGAAUCCCAAAAAGCCGGUCUCAGUUCGGAUUGGGGUCUGCAACUCGACCCCAUGAAGUCGGAG